GGUGCUGUGGCUUAGUUGGUCAAAGCGCCUGUCUAGUAAAUAGGAGAUCCUGGGUUCAAAUCCCAGCAGUGCUU
rnacentral:tRNA from 1 species